GCUGGGCGUGGUGGUGCAUGCCUGUAGUUCUAGCUACUCAGGAGGCUGAGGCAGGAGGAUUGCUUGAGCUCAGGGGUUUGAGGUUACAGUGAGCUAUGAUUGCACCACUGUUCUCCAGCCUGGGUAACAGAGUAAGACCCUGCCUUAA
ensembl:misc_RNA Metazoa_SRP Metazoan signal recognition particle RNA